rnacentral:rRNA from 1 species
UACGUAGGGUGCGAGCGUUGUCCGGAUUUAUUGGGCGUAAAGAGCGUGUAGGCGGCUUUGCAAGUCCGUUGUGAAAACUCGAGGCUCAACCUCGAGACGCCGGUGGAAACUGCAAAGCUAGAGUCCGGAAGAGGAGAGUGGAAUUCCUGGUGUAGCGGUGAAAUGCGCAGAUAUCAGGAAGAACACCCGUGGCGAAGGCGGCUCUCUGGGACGGUACUGACGCUGAGACGCGAAAGCGUGGGGAGCAAACAGG